GAUGCAGACACGCGUUCUCUGUCACUGCCUUUGAUAAUGCUGCGAAUGCGCUUUGUUGUUGUUCGCUCCAACACCAUUUGACGCCUUUUCGAAGGAGGUGAUUAAGCGGCUGAGAAAUCUCGGAGCAGUAAGGAAUGAAAUCCCUAUAGAAUGCAAUCAUUCCGAGAUAUCUCUGCAAACUUUU